rnacentral:rRNA from 1 species
AUUGAACGCUGGCGGAAUGCUUUACACAUGCAAGUCGAACGGCAGCACGGGGGCAGCCCUGGUGGCGAGUGGCGAACGGGUGAGUAAUACAUCGGAACGUGCCCGGUCGUGGGGGAUAACGUAGCGAAAGUUACGCUAAUACCGCAUACGAUCUGAGGAUGAAAGCGGGGACCUUCGGGCCUCGCGCGAUCGGAGCGGCCGAUGUCAGAUUAGGUAGUUGGUGGGGUAAAGGCCUACCAAGCCGACGAUCUGUAGCUGGUCUGAGAGGACGACCAGCCACACUGGGACUGAGACACGGCCCAGACUCCUACGGGAGGCAGCAGUGGGGAAUUUUGGACAAUGGGCGCAAGCCUGAUCCAGCCAUUCCGCGUGCAGGACGAAGGCCUUCGGGUUGUAAACUGCUUUUGUACGGAACGAAAAGGCUCUGGCUAAUACCUGGGGCUCAUGACGGUACCGUAAGAAUAAGCACCGGCUAACUACGUG